rnacentral:lncRNA from 1 species
AACUUGGUUAGGGUUAUAAAAUGAGAGUGGGUCUUUUUAUGUUAUAUACAGAAAGGGGAUUAGGAUGAUAAUAGUAAGUUGUUUUCUUAAGCCAGGACCUCAAGUUUUGGUAUUUAAUUUAUGGGUUUUUGAUAAUUUUAUAUAUAUUUUUACAGGAAAACUGGAGCUACUUUGGCUAAAAUGGCAAGAAGUAAUUGCAAUUUUAUUUAAUUAUUCCCUUGGUUUGGAGAUGUUUAGGAAGAUUUUGACUUUAUGGGUGUGCACUGAGAUCUGCCAAUUUUAAUUUUAUU